GUGAUGGACAUUUUAUUCAUUGCAUGGUCAAAUUCAUCAAGAUCAAGAUGCUGCUCAUCAGGACUCCUUGCCAUUCCUUCUUCCAUAAAAUUCUCGUCAUUCAUGGUGACAAAAUCCUCAUUAAUGUCUUCAUCACUGCUAUCUUCAUCAUCACUGCCAUAACUAGUUCUGACAUGCUUCCAGUACACGAAGUUCGGUCGAAUGAAGUUCCUGUCACUUUUUUUCAAUAAACAUGGGUCGAAUGGGAAGAACAUAUCCAGUCUCUCCAGCCCACCAAAAUCCCUGGAAAAAUCUGAUUCCAGCAAAUCUUCGAACAUGAAUGUUUCAGAUGGGGUGAACAAACGAGCAGCUUUUGCCUGUUUAAGAAACUCUUCUACAAUAGAUGGCAGGCACACCUUCAAGGGGCCCAAUUUAUGCUUCAAGAUUCGCUCUAUGGGCAUGAGAAGAAGCUGUGAUUUGAGCCAUGGGACAUCCACUAUUGACCUCAUACAAAAGCAGAGAACAUACAUGAUGGCCUGACAUCCAGAAUAGAAAACUCUAUGCGCUUUUGGGUUUACAUCACCAUCCUGGGUUUUACAAUACUCCAAACACCAAUCCACCAACCUUUUCAACAUGCUAGCGACAAAAGCAGUGGACAGAAACUUCGCACGAGCCAAAUAACUAGCAAGAUAAGC
rnacentral:misc_RNA from 1 species